CGGAACAGUCCUUUCCCGUAGUAUAUAUGUAGACUGCAUUUCUGUUUAUGGCGCGGCGCACCUAGGUCGUUUUCGCUGCAGAUUGCUUUUUGGGCUUGUUAAAAAAUUUGUGGGCGGUGGUAGACUAAUUAUUCGAUUUGGCUGAUGUAUUUACUGGUUCACCAACACACUUACUGCUGUUGUGAUCAUGUACAAACUGUACCUUGAAGCAAUUGGAGUUUGUUUGCUAGCUGGUAUAACCUUUUCCGCUGCUCAAUCAUGCAUUAUAGUAUAAUAAUAUAUCGAUUCAAGUGAUUUGCAUUAUCAUGAUCAUAGACAUUUGAUUCUUAUCUUUUGACUGGAAUGCAAGCAUGAAGCAGCACAAUGGUUUAUUAGAUAUUUGAGAAGCUAUUCUGCACGUGCAUUUCCUCUGUAUGUAUUUCCUGUUGUGGCAUUUGUUCAGUACUUACUUUGCAAUUGUAGCAGACUUGGGAUUGAGGGUGUCAAUGGAGAUGCUUGUGGAUUUGAGCAGCUUAAUUUGGGCAAAAGGUAUUGUUUCUUGUCUUAACUCUUCAUUCUGAUUGUGAAGUGCGUGCAUGUGGGUGAACACUAUCAAGUUUCUAUCCAUUAUGUGUGUCUAUUUGGGCAUCUUGUCCGUCCUUCUCAUGGGGUUCAAGCCCCAAACAGGAAAACCUCUCUGGCUUUAAAGGUUUCUACAAGAUGCCAACAAGUUUGUAAAACAUCAAGUGUGCACAUGCAGUCAGAUGAUUGUGAUUGUAUAGCAUAUUGCUAUGAAUUAUCUCCAAUCAAAUCUCAAUUCCCAUGUGAUCUGGUGUGUUUCAUUUUCUUAUGCUUGGCAAUGGCAUCACUAACACUGUGAACAUAGCAUUCGGCUUGUACAUGGUGUUUCCUUAUGUUCUGCUCUAUAGUAAUAUAAAUAUUUGUUCUGUGCAGGGGUAGAGAUGAACCAUGUUCAUCUGGUCUAAAAUCCAAAGCUUGUCGUGAAAAAUGAGGAGGGACAAGCUGAAUGACAGGUACUGCAAAAUCAAUGUUUAAAAGGCUGCUAGGCAUCAAGGCAAGCUGGGUA
rnacentral:lncRNA from 1 species